AAAACUUUCAACAACGGAUCUCUUGGUUCUCGCAUCGAUGAAGAACGUAGCGAAUUGCGAUAAGUAAUGUGAAUUGCAGAUACUCGUGAAUCAUUGAAUUUUUGAACGCACAUUGCGCCCUUGAGCAUUCUCAAGGGCAUGCCUGUUUGAGCGUCAUUUC
rnacentral:rRNA from 1 species